UUUUAAUUUACAUAAAUGUAUUUUCUAUAAAUCAUAUUAUUCUCAGUUUUCUUACUAAGCUGUAUGUUUUUAAGAAUACUCUACAUUGCUUUGUAUAUUUAAUCUAUUGCUUCUAACUGCUGCAUAGUAUUCAGUAAUGUACACCCACCGUAUUUUAGUGAUCUGUUCACCCAGUGAUGAAAACUGUGUCUGUGGGACAGUUAAUUUGGGGGAGAGCCAAAGCAGAACUAAAAACUCUACCCGUGUACAUCCUCCCCCUGCUGUGCCCAACCACCAUCCACAACGGGCUGCUGCAAAGCCCGUCCUUAACCGCCCUGUCCCAAAUCACACACACACACAGACAUUUAGUCCAUGACAGCCUUCGUUCUCUGAGAUGGUUUAGAUUUGUUCUGUUCCGUCCUCAGACCCUUAAGACCCUCUCCCUUCUGUGGGGUCUCCAGGGUUGAUUUUGAGUCAGAGUGCCAACUGCCAAUUUGUCAGCUUUCAGGUUUUCAAUUCCACUGAGUUUGCUAAAUUCAAUUAUUACGUUUUCAGUUUGAGAGUUCUUUUUUCUUCAUAUCUGCCUUGUUAUUUUGAAUAAUAUCUUGUUCCUUCAUCAUACACUCAAUAUCCUCCUUCAUUUCUUGAAAUAGUUAAGAAACCUGUUUUAUAGUCUAUAUUUGAGAUUUCCAAAUCAUCAGUGUUUGGUGGGUCUGAUUCUGUUGUUUGUUUGUUUUUCUUUUACUCAGGAUGGCUUCUUUACUACGCCUAUGUUCCUUGGAAUUUUAUCUCUGGAAAUUUUUAAGACCUGAGUUUAAAAUAUUCCUCUGGAGAGAAUUUGCGUUUGCUUUUGUCUGACUGCUGAUGUUGCUAUCAAAUUCAGAUCACUAAAUUUUCAGCUUGAGUAUUUCAAGAGGCGAUGAGGGAUGGGGCUAGGAGCCACAUAGGUAGGGUGGGUUCUAGCCCUAAAUCAGCUACAGUGCAAUCCUAUGAUUAGGAAUAGACAGAAGGGACUUUCUAGGGUUUUUUCCUCCUUCACCGAGAGCCGUCGCUGAGACAAGCAAGUAUACCCAGUCUUACUCUGUGGAGCAAGGUUUCUUUCUAGUUCAUCUACUAAGGAUGUUGCCUUUGCAAGUUCUUGGCUUUGUGCUGAGGUCUUGGACUUCAUGCACACACACACACCAACUUUGGCCCUAGACUUUAUUUCCUGCCUGCCACAGCAUAGCCUGUUCAUUUUGUACUAGGACAUCUAGUCUGCCAUAUUGCCUCAAGUGGAAACUUCCAUAUUCUUAAAUUCAUCUUAGUAAUACACUUUUGUGAUGUUACAGCAGGAAGAUAACAGGAAAUUAUUCCAUUCUAAUUUCUGUUGAAUUUAUAAUUAAAAGUGUGCACAGGAAUUUAGAAUAGAAAGUAAGAAUAAAUAAAAGGGUUGAGAAAAUAUUAUCUAAAAGCAAUAGACAGUAGAACCAAAACAAGAGAAUCAUAUGACAGGCUUAAAUUUAGUAAUUUAAAGAGUGUUUAUGAAUAGAAAAGAUGUCACGCAAAAAUAAGUUAAAUGACAUGGAUUCCAGCUGUGAUAUAACUGGUUUGUUAUCAUCAAGUCACUUUACCUCUUAGAGUUGCAGUUUCCUUAUUUGCGAAAAAAAUAAUAAUAAGGCCUUUUCGACACCAGGGUUCAUUAUGAGGAUUAAACACAGUAAGAUGUGUCAACUUAUUUUGAAAAGUGUAUGAUGUAAUACGCAAAUGUAAAGUUGUAAAAGAGAUAUUUUAACGUCGUUGUGCCUUUUAAAAACUGUUCUUAUGUAUUUGUUAAAGGGAAUAACGUUUUAGUCAAUAGACAAUUCACUAUUCAUUUUUUCAGUCAAACAUUUAUUGAGUAUUUCCCCUAUUCUAGAUAUGAUGCUAUGUAUUGGCUUACCUGUCUUCAGGAGCACAAAAUUUAUUAGGGAAAACAAGACAAACACAACUAAUUUUUUAUAAAUGUAGUUGUAAGUAGUAAAUUCAUCUCUUUAAAAUUAUUCUAAAAUUCUGACAUCACUUGUUCUAACUAACCCUCCAUCAUUACCCAUUCCAAAGUAGUGUUCUGUAGUGAGAAAUUACUCCAUGCAUAAUUACACACAACAAAACAUAUAUUUCAGGUAUUAUGAUUAUGGUAAAAAUAACCAAAACCAAAUACAGUCAUUGAGGCUCCAGAAUUUCCUAAAAACUAUAUUUUACGUAUUAUAAGAAUCUGUCUUUUUAUUUUUACAGCCUCCUCUAAGUUUCAAAUUAAAGUAAAUAACCAAUAAAAUUGUGUUAUAUUGAUGACCAACAGUAAGGAAGCAUUCAGUUAGGAAAAGACUAAAUGCUUUGAAGCUAGAUGCUCUGAACAGCUCUUUAUCACCAAAUCAGGCAGGCUGAUAUCUUCUCCAUUUUAUCGUUAAACUUUAGGUCACAAGUCUAAGGCAACAGAGUUACAAACUCAAAAUUUGCAUGAUUAUUUCUAUUUUCUCAUAAAAAAAUAAUUUUGGUAACAUUUCCCAUAAGCAUCUUCUAAUUUAACAGUGGAAUCUUAAAAUCAAUUUCAAAGAUCAAAGCACAAAAAUUAUCUUGGUUUUGAUCUUAUUAGCAAGCCAAGAUUACAUUCCCUGUAGCAUCAUUUUAAAUUAUAAUGAGCAAUCACAUAAAACUCUGGUAUUUCUCUAAAACAAUUAUUACUUAUGUUACUUCAUAGUGUUAAUCUCAAUCAGUGAUCGCUGAUGUGUGAACUUUUUAGCUUAAAUGUUUAUUUUGUUUAUAAUACUUUCUUGAGUAAGAUAAAUUGAACUCAUGAAAAACUCUGUGGCACAGUUUUAAAUAGGAGAUAAUUUGGCAAUACUUAUGUUUAAAAAUGUUUUUUAGGCCGAGGAGUGCUAUAUAUUGUAAAAAACUUGUCCUGAAUAGCUGGUUUCAUAUUAUCUUUUGAUUUUUAAAAUCAUAUAUAUGUGGUUAUGAGGAGGCAAAUUAUCUUAAAAAGAUGUUAGGUGAGAAAAGCAAAUGAUUUGUAAAUCUACUUAAUUUUCUUUUAUUUACAAGUAUUCAAUAAAUCAACUUUUAAAGCAC
rnacentral:lncRNA from 1 species